UACGUAGGUGGCAAGCGAUACUCGGAAUCACUAGGCGUAAAGCGCAGGUAGGCGGUUUGGUAAGUCUUUUGUGAAAGCUCCCGGCUCAACUGGGAGAGGUCAAGGGAAACUACCGGACUAGAGUGUGGUAGGGGAUACUGGAAUUCCUGGUGUAGCGGUGAAAUGCGUAGAUAUCAGGAGGAAUACCUAUGGCGAAAGCAGGUAUCUGGGCCAUCACUGAGGCUGAGCUGCGAAAGCUAGGGGAGCAAACAGG
rnacentral:rRNA from 1 species